CCGUCCGGGGCCGGCAGCGAGCGCGGGGUUCGGCCGCUCCAAGUUCGGCGGUGCCGUGGCUCGGAGGCGCUUUGGAGGCGUUGAUGGCAUCGCUGGGUUCGGUUUGCAGCGGCUGUCCGCUAAGGGAUACGGUGUUCUUCCUGAGCGGGCACGGUUCUCGGUGCCGGGUACUGAGAAAAUACGUCUCCCUUAGAGUACCGCGGAAAGGUUCUCAGUGCGCUCUCUAUCAAGUGCUAUGAGUCUUGAUAAAUUGGAGAAGAGCCCAAGAGAAAUUUUUCAUCCCUUGAUAUAAAAGGAUUUAUUGGUUCUGGAAGAACAAGAGGGAAGUACAAGCCUAACUACUUCUAGCUCACAGGCCCGUCCAGUGAACCCAGGGACCGGUGAAUUUUAACUUUGGAGUCCCCUAUGCUAAGGAUGCUCAGCUUACAGGUGAUGAAAUGUUCAGUAAUGUAUUUGCUGCAGCUCUGCUUACCCAAGCUUUGGGUUCCUUCUGUCCCACUGGGAGUUGCCCAGUUUGGUUGCAUCUGGUGAAAUUCACCCUGAGACCUUACAGAACUAGCUCCAACUACGUGAGAGCCAUUUGCAGUUCUCUCCAGACACCUGGAGAAUGGGUGACGUUUCUGAGGAUCCGGCGAGCGUGCUUCUAUCAAAACUCAGUCUGUGAAAUUCCUGGGGAAAACCCUUCUGUGUCCUGAAGGGUUCAAACUCUGGUGAGGAUCCAGUUAUCAGGGGCUCACCUGGAUGGUUCCAGCUCCCAAAGUUAACACUUCUACUCUUGCCCUGUAGUUUACAUCUAUUGUAUUUUUGUUAUUUUGCAACAUUUUUUGUCUUUGCAAAAUAUUGUGCAUUUCACUCUUUGGAACCUCUCAGAUGGUUCUUUGGUGCAGCACCACCCCAGGGGACACUUGGCUGCUGUCCUGAAGGGUUUGGUCGCUAGAAUUGUGAAUCCUGGAGAGUUUGUGAGUCUUCUGUCCCCAGGGAGGUGUCGUGCUUUGUUUACUUUUGUUCUGUUGGUUAGGCGCUGCUUCUCGUUGCAAGUAUGAAUUUCAAACUGCCCUGUUCUUAUUUUAACUGUUUUCCUGGUUCUCUCUGUCCGGCAGGGAAAGACUCUCGUAUCCUUGUCGUCGGGCUCGGUGCUGUCCAAGAAGAUACAGAGACUAAAAAAAUCAUAAGAAGCAAAAUAUGACUGCAGGGAAAAGAAGCUGGAGAGAACAGAAGACUCAUCACGGCGGGACAGCGUGAGGACUGAAAGUGUAAGAAGAUGUGGAGGGAAACAGAGAAUCUGACAGGAGCAGCGAACGCACGAGUGCAGGAAUUUUGCUUUUUGCUUGGAUGUAAACUCAGGAGUUGAGAGGAAUUUGGGAGUGAGAAGGGACAUUUCAGAAGGAGAAGAAGAAAAAGAGGUUGUUGUUGUUGUUACAGUCCUGGCAAAAUCUUUUGUUCUAGCUAAUAAAAGAAGUUAGUUUAAAAAACAAAAAGGAAAAAAUGUAGUGUUUUUUUUUUCCUUCACUAUGAUAUUCAUUGGUGGUAUAUGGUGUGUUGUUUUAUUUCUUGGUAUUAUUAACUCUGUGUAAAUUGUUUUUUGAGUGAAGCUGACUUUCUGGAUGGGUUGGUUUGUAUUUGAGGCAGGAUUAAUUUCAGUAGGGUUCUUUCAUAGAUUUCUGAUGGGUAUUACUGGGAUUUUGGUUUUGUUUACUGUAUGUAUAAACCUAGAGCUUUGGUAGGGCCAGCUGGGCUGCUGGAGUUUUGGGUGUGAAUUUAUUAGAUGGCUUUUGUUAGAUGCAGUUUUUAAUUUUUGAAAUGUUUUUCAAUGUAGUGGUUUUAAGGUGGUUUUUAAGAAUUCAUUGUAUUGCUUUAUCUUGUUUGUAGUUGGUGUAUGAUAAGGGAUGUGGUGUGACUUUUUGAACAUU